AGGUUUUGGCAAAGUUCACUGGUGACCAGCAAAUACACGCAGAAAAUGCAAACGAUUGAUGAGCUUCUGAAUAAAAUGAAUGUUAUCCAUGCAUCCUAUACCAACAAUAUUUCUCUAAAACGGAGUUUUCGAGAAGGAGCAAAUCGAAUUCACCUUCAGAAGUGUUCAAAUUUGAAGGAGAAAAAAUCAGAGGAAGGAGAAGAAAGUGAAAAGAACAGUUACCAAGGAAGAGAUGGUUAAGCAAUCCUUUUAAAGUUGUCGGGAGAAAGCCAUUCUAAGCAAUCAUGAUGCCGGAGACCCCUUGUGGCGG